AAGUCGUAACAAGGUUUCCGUAGGUGAACCUGCGGAAGGAUCAUUAACGAUUCAAGGAUGUGCUGGCUCACACCAAGCAUGUGCACUCCUAAACCUCAUACCCCUGUGCAUCUUUUGUAGUCUGGCUUAAAGAAGAAUUGGAGAAAUCCGGUUAUUCUGCUAUGACUAUGUUUUAAACACCCGUAUAAAUUUAUAGAAUGUAUUUGACUUUACAAGUCUAAAAAACUAAUACAACUUUCAACAACGGAUCUCUUGGUUCUC
rnacentral:misc_RNA from 1 species